UGAAAAUGGAAAAAACAUAUUCAUUAAUAACUCGUUUUCACAUUUGUGUUGAAUAGCUCAAGAUGAAAGGUAUAUUUUUGUUAAUUACGAUUUUGGCACUUUUUGCUGUGGCUUAUUCAGCUCUAGCUCGGUAUCCGGUUCGAAAAGAUAAGCCAGGGCAUUGCUGGUCAGAGCUGACCGGCCCAAUGAAAAACGGAGAAGAGCGCCAGAUUCCGAAACAAUGUGUACAAGCGAGUUGCGGUGAGAGCAGGGAUGUGGUAAUCGCAUCAUGUGGGGUUGCUAAAGGACCUAAUGGUGCAUCUGAGACUGACUACUCUAAACCGUAUCCAGAGUGUUGUCCUCAACCAAUAUAACAUCGCACAUCGUUAAAUAACACCUAAAAUAAUACGAAGUAUGACGAUAAAAGGGUUUAUAGAUAUGCUACGAUAUGAAACAUUGUGGUUUUAAUUACUUGAUUAGUUUAGUAAUAAUAUGUGGCUUUUAUUGUCAAUAGCUUGAUUUUUUUACUUUUGCCAAACGUGUCAUCAAAAUACCCAUAAUUCAAUCAAUAAUCAGUAAAAUACAGAUCAUUUUGAAGAUA